rnacentral:lncRNA from 1 species
ACAAGUAAUAAAUCUUAGGCUGUAAGAUUUUAGAGGAAUUUAAAUGUACAGGUAAAAAAAUCUUUGAAAAAAUAUGACAUGAUAUCAUCUUGUCUAUUUCAAAAGGAUUUUUGUUUAGACUUAAAUGGUCCAAGAUAUUUUCAGUGAAUUUCUGAAAUACUUAAACAGUGUUUUUUUUUACCCAAAGUGACCAGAAGAGUUCAGAAGCACCUCUUCAUUCUAUUUAUGUAUAGUUUCAUUGGAAAUGUUUAAAAUAGAAAAAUAUUUCUGUGUGAGAGAGCAUGUUCAUGUGUGCCACUGAAGAGAAGAGGUGGGACUUCUUCUCUAUGAAACGUUGGGUCUGAAGAGGUCACUUGAUACAAACUGGAAGGAAUAAAAGCCCUAAGGGUAUGUUGAAUGAAGUCCUGCCCGCAUGCUGUCCUGUGAUAUGACUGUCAAUGAAUGGUGACAUAUCUCCUGUCACUUGAGAAUGUGAAAAUCAGGGCCAAGCAGAAGUAGGUUUGCCAAAAUUAAAGCUUUUAAUAAAAUGUCUGUAAGGUGAACUUAGAUGUUAGAUGUUAGUUUGUAAAUGUCUUUGUGGCUCUGUUGUUUCACUGAAUUAUCUAUUUUGCCAAAAAACAAACAAACAACAACAACAAAACCACUCCAUUUGCUACAGUCACUGUGUUCUUUAGAGGAACUUGUAAGAGUGGUGUGACCAAGAGUCAGUGCUUGUUCUAGCUGUCUGCUCUUGGUAAAUCUCAGACUAAGGAAUUGUGAAAUGGUUCAUAACUUGAAGCUAGUGAGAGUUACUGGAUGGGAACUGAACAGCAAGGAUUUCCCAGAUUUCACAGGCGUGGGGCUUUCUGACUUAGAAACGCUGAAUUAUUUCACUUAAGUUGCUGAAAGUAUCUCCACUGUUUCUGGAAUAUUGAGUUACACAAUACCAGUGCUGUCACUGUGUGUAGCCCGUUCUGCUGCAGCCUUGCUAACAUUCCUGGGGCAUGAGUGGAUGGCUACCGAGCAGGAGGUAUGCUCAGCAUCACAGCGGGCAGAGGCAGCUGAUUUAACAGCAUCUCGGUUAUUAAAUCUACUCCUACAGGGUCACCAAAACCAACCUGUAGGAAAUAACAAGUCUCAGCUCGCUACGUGCAAAGGCAGCUCUUGCCUACUGCAGCCAACAGGAGCAUUUGGGGCUUUGGAUUAAUUAUAAAGCACUGUUAUUAAACUUCUAAUGAAAUGAUUCAGAAGAGAUUGACAUAGGAACUGUUGGUCUUUAAAGUUCUUAUUCUAUUUCAGAACACAGUCAACAUCUUUAUUAACACAGUCCUGUGUUUGCUCUCAGGCAAAAUGAGAUGAACUGAGCACCUGUGCAAACCGGAGCAGUGAUUGCAACAGCAUGCAGUUAUACGAUGUGUACCUGGCGCUGUACUGCACGGAUGUCAGCCUUAAAAUACCAACACCAAGGUCCUAAUUAAAACAUGCACGUUGUUUGGCAACCAGUAGCAUUUGAAAUCAAGGAUUCACAGGAUCAGGCUUUUCUCUCAGAUCUUGUCUCCUCUGCAUUCCAAGUGAACUGAUUGAUUACUUUUGGAUGAGAUUUGGACAUUGAUUGAAAGAGCAGAAGAAGAAGCAGAAGAAGAGUAGUAUCACCUUCUGAGGAAUGCACUAAAUGUGUACUCCAUGCUUUAACAACAAUGAUGCCAACCUAAAAUUGAUGAGCAGAUCUAUGAAGAAAAGCCUAGAAAAGAAUAGCACAGGGAACGCAGGUACCAAAACAUCUGUGCAUGUAUCUAUUUGCGGGUUGGUUAUGUAUUUCCAUAAAGCAAAACUUACUUUAAAAUAUUCUGCAACAGGAAGAAACCAUUUUGGAUCUUUAUCACUUAAGGACAUAAUCACUUCUUUUUCCUAUAUCCUUUCUCUGUUUUUUACCCUCAGUAUUUGUUUUGGAAUCAUUUUUUCUUCUUCUCUUUCUCUUCUCCUGGAAAAUUAUUACAGGAAUAACCAGAAACAAGCAAUAAUUAUAGUAACACAUUACAAAAUAAG